UACAGAGGGUGCGAGCGUUAAUCGGAGUUACUGGGCGUAAAGGGCGCGUAGGCGGUUAAUUAAGAUUGAUGUGAAAUCCCUGGGCUUAACCUAGGAACUGCAUUGAUGACUGAAUAGCUAGAGUACUGUAGAGGGUAGUAGAAUUUCCGGUGUAGCGGUGAAAUGCGUAGAGAUCGGAAGGAAUACCAGUGGCGAAGGCGGCUAUCUGGACAGAUACUGACGCUGAGGCGCGAGAGCGUGGGGAGCAAACAGG
rnacentral:rRNA from 1 species